CCUACGGGAGGCAGCAGUGGGGGAUAUUGCACAAUGGGGGAAACCCUGAUGCAGCAACGCCGCGUGUGGGAAGAAGGUUUUCGGAUUGUAAACCACUGUUCUUGGUGAAGAUAAUGGCGGUAACCAAGGGUCACGCUCCCGCUAACUACGUGCCAGCAGCCGCGGUCAUACGUAGGGCGCAAGCGUUGUCCGGAUUUACGGGGUGUAAGGGGUGCGUAGGCGGUCUUGCAAGUCAGACGUGAAAUCCACAGGCUCAACCUGUGGACUGCGUUUGAAACUGGGGGGCUUGAGUGAAGUAGAGGUAGGCGGAAUUCCCGGUGUAGCGGUGAAAUGCGUAGAGAUCGGGAGGAACACCAGUGGCGAAGGCGGCCUACUGGGCUUUAACUGACGCUGAGGCACGAAAGCAUGGGUAGCAAACAGGAUUAGAUACCCCAGUAGUC
rnacentral:rRNA from 1 species